AGAGAAACUAAAUGUGGCCCAAUUCAAUCUUGAGUGUAGAACAAGUACGACUCUCUCCUACUGAUCUUCUCUGUCAUACGAAUCUACCGCCGCCGCAAAAUCUUUCAUGGAGAUUUCGAAGGACAACCCGCUGAUAUGCCCUUAGGAUCUCUACCGAAAUUAACCCUAACCCUGAGCUUGAAUAACUGAAGUUAUUGAUUAUGGUUGCUAUAAAAAGUGGGUUAAGAUGCAUUAUCUGCCAUGUCCGGUCAAGUAUUAUUCCCUGCCUGAUUGUUUGGUGUUGUUGCUCGAAUUUUCCGAACGUGUGGGUCGUGUGGCUUCUCUAAAUGGAACCAUCAAUUCUGUUGUUAGCAUUGUAGUGGCAGUGUGCCACAUUAGAAUUGGUGUACUUGAGCUGAUUAGUCUUUUGUUGGUCUUUUUUAGAAUAUUGCAACCAAGUGCAUGGUGCUUAUUGAUUUGCUUAAUUUUAUAGGUGUUAUCUUAUAUAUUUCAUCAAGUAUGAUCUUCAUGCCUAUACAAAGUUGAUUCUGAUA